rnacentral:rRNA from 1 species
CCUACGGGUGGCAGCAGUGGGGAAUAUUGGACAAUGGGCGAAAGCCUGAUCCAGCCAUGCCGCGUGUGUGAAGAAGGCCUUCGGGUUGUAAAGCACUUUCAGUGGGGAAGAAAGCCUUGGGGCUAAUACCCUCGAGGAAGGACAUCACCCACAGAAGAAGCACCGGCUAACUCCGUGCCAGCAGCCGCGGUAAUACGGAGGGUGCGAGCGUUAAUCGGAAUUACUGGGCGUAAAGCGCGCGUAGGCGGUCUGAUAAGCCGGUUGUGAAAGCCCCGGGCUCAACCUGGGAACGGCAUCCGGAACUGUCAGGCUAGAGUGCAGGAGAGGAAGGUAGAAUUCCCGGUGUAGCGGUGAAAUGCGUAGAGAUCGGGAGGAAUACCAGUGGCGAAGGCGGCCUUCUGGACUGACACUGACGCUGAGGUGCGAAAGCGUGGGUAGCAAACAGGAUUAGAUACCCCUGAGUC